AUUGAACGCUGGCGGCAGGCCUAACACAUGCAAGUCGAACGAGUGGCGGACGGGUGAGUAAUGUCUGGGAAACUGCCCGAUGGAGGGGGAUAACUACUGGAAACGGUAGCUAAUACCGCGUACCCUCGGAUGGGCCCAGAUGGGAUUAGCUUGUAGGUGAGGUAACGGCUCACCUAGGCGACGAUCCCUAGCUGGUCUGAGCGGAUGACCAGCCACGUGGGUACUUGUACACGGGCCAGACUCCUCGGGGGGACAGCAGUGGGGAAUAUUGCACAUUGGUCGCAAGGCUUGUGCAGCCAUGCCGCGUGUAUGAAGAAGGCCUUCUGGUUGUAACUUACUUUCAGCGGGGAGUCGUUACCAGCAGAAGUAGCACCGGCUCACUCCGUGCCAGCAGCCUCGGUAAUAC
rnacentral:rRNA from 1 species